GAGCGCGCUCCCCCUUGCUCCCCCUCAAAUUAAGCACUGGUUGUACUCCUUCCAAGUCAGUGGGCACUUAGAACCAAGAUAGGGUGUAUGGGGACAUGGAAACCUGCUCGACCGUCGUUUCAAGCUUGAAAACCUCCGUGUCGACCGCGGUGAGGGGUGGACUGGGACAAAAAUUCAGCACUGGCAUUUUCUGUCCAGACCAGACCACUACAUUAUCAGCAUUAGGGGUGGGACAGACGAACGGGAAGAACCUAUGUUUUUGUUUUUCAAGUUUGUGUCUCUUGUGCUGCUGACAAGAAAGGUGUGAAACCUGAACCGGAAGUUAACGGACAUCCUGUGGUCGCUGCAUCUCCAUCCCCCAUAUCUACAUAGCUACAAAACGCGUGUGAAAUAUCACACUUGAUCUAACGCCAAUUUCUCUCUUGCAGUUUUUAGUCUGUGAAUGGGAAAAUCUUUUUGUGUAAGCCCAGCAUUAGUUAAAAUCAGACUCGGACAAUAAUAACAAAAUAUCCUGACAAAUAAUCUAAAUAGGAACAUAUUACAGACAGUAGCAGCAUUAGAGCUGAAACGCAUUUGUCAUUGUGUCAUUGUGAAACCAUAAAUAGAGAAUUUAAUUUUUUUUAUCUGUACGACUCCGGCCCAUGCCAUCAGGUCCAGCCCACCCUGGUUUAUGUUGUGAUUGACAGCACUGCCAGGGCUCUCUGAGACUGUCAGCCCAUGAUUGAUUGACAAUGACAAACAUAGACCAAUAAUCUUCGUCGAUGCUGGCCACACACUGCUAGCCCUCUGUUGCCCAUUGGCCGGCCCAAUUGGAGGGAAUUUAGAGAGAGAGAAAAAAACAAAACACAGCGGACCGGACCGGCCCACAUUGGGUCAACGGCCCACCGGGACGAUGCCCGGUAUGCCAGAUGGCCAGUCCACACCGUGAGACCCUCACCCUCCGUCUGUGUGGAAACCAGCAGCGGGAAGCAGACUUUUCUAAACGUUCCAGGCCGAGAUAUCUACGGUCGUUCGGUCAGCCACUCGUCUCCGAGCCCCGAGGCGUGGAGCACUUUGGGGACCGCAGCAUCUUCGGGUCGUUUCAGUCUAAACUUCAAUAGCAUGGACGCUGACUACCACCUUGAGGACGCCGUGCCCGCGGCCCCGACCCCGACCCCGACCCUUCUCCAUACUUUAGCAUGAGGACCCUGUCACGGUGACAGGGUCCUAAUGCUAGGGGUUGGAGAGGGGUCGGGGUGAGACGAGAGUGUCAUCCCGAUCCCUAUCCGGCCUCUCAUGAGGACCCUGUCACCCCGACCCUUCUGUACCAUGAGGACCCCGACCCCUCUCCGGCCUGCAGCAAGAGGGGACAGCCGAGAACUCCAAUCCUACUAUUUUUUAAUUGUUGAUUGCUUCUUGCUGUCAAUAUUGUUUUAACGGGGUUUUUUUCCCUUUCUUUUAUUAGACCAAAGAUAAUUUCCUUUGUUGGACGAUGUGUGUUCGUAAAAAAGUUGUGAAGAUGUCAAUGUUCAGGGUGAUCUAAUCGCUAAAAAUCAGCAGAAUCCAUCGUUGGAAUUAUUUUACAAUAAAUUAAAGUGCUUUGUAG
ensembl:lncRNA